rnacentral:rRNA from 1 species
UAGGGAAUUUUGCGCAAUGGGGGAAACCCUGACGCAGCAACGCCGCGUGACCGAUGAAGCUUCUAGGAGCGUAAAGGUCUGUCGUAAGGGAAGAAAAGUUUGGAUGUAAAUAAUGUUCGAACCUGACGGUACCUUACAAGAAAGCACCGGCUAACUUCGUGCCAGCAGCCGCGGUAAUACGAGGGGUGCAAGCGUUGUCCGGAAUCACUGGGCGUAAAGGGUCCGUAGGCGUCUCAAAAAGUCAUUUGUUAAAUACACCGGCUUAACCAGUGAAGUGCAUUUGAAACUAUUGAGAUAGAGUAUAGGAGAGGAAAGCGGAAUUCCUGGUGUAGCGGUGACAUGCGUAGAUAUCAGGAGGAACACCAAUGGCGAAGGCAGCUUUCUGGCCUAUUACUGACGCUGAGGGACGAAAGCGUGGGGAGCGAACAGG